rnacentral:sRNA from 1 species
GCUGGGUGUGGUGGCUCAUGCCUGUAAUCCCAGGAAGUUGGGAGGCUGAGGCAGGAGGAUCACUUCUUUGAGGCAAGCUUCAUCAAUUUAGCAAGCCCCUAAGAAACUCAUUGAGACCCUGUCUCAA